rnacentral:misc_RNA from 1 species
CGCCAAAAGACUAUGAACCUUCCUCAGUGAAUGAAGUUACGGAUGUGGAGAAGGAAGGUGAAGACGUAAGCAAACGUAGGAAGAAAGAGCCUGAACUAACAGUCAAAUCAGCCCUGUCUACUGCAUUUGCAAAAUAUGCUGAUAAAUUUGGUAAAAAGAAUGAUAAAUCAUUCGAAGAGAAAGCAGGAGAAACAAGUGUUACUGUGGAAUCAGGAGCUAGCAAGGGGGACUCUGGUGACAUGACUGCGAGUUGAUCCUCUUUUUCCAGCGUUGAUCUAUUCUCAGUUGUGAAUUGUGAGACAGAAAUGUCUCUGAUAUUCUGUUCUCGUCAUUUCAGGGGC